rnacentral:rRNA from 1 species
AAAUAGCCCCUCUCGCUUUGGCGGGUGGCAGGCUUCUUAGAGGGACUAUCGGCUCAAGCCGAUGGAAGUUUGAGGCAAUAACAGGUCUGUGAUGCCCUUAGAUAUCCUGGGCCGCACGCGCGCUACACUGACGGAGCCAACGAGUUUAGUCCUUGGCCGGAAGGCCUGGGUAAUCUUGUUAAACUCCGUCGUGCUGGGGAUAGAGCAUUGCAAUUAUUGCUCUUCAACGAGGAAUGCCUAGUAAGCGCGUGUCAUCAGCACGCGUUGAUUACGUCCCUGCCCUUUGUACACACCGCCCGUCGCU